UUCCCUAUGAACCCAGUCCUGCCACCAUCUUCUAGGAUAUCUGGUGAGGCUGUCACCUUAUCUGUUUUCUCUUAGUCUCCGUUACCAAGUUAAACAUAAUCACAUAAACAAUAAACAUGCACUCGAUAAUACAAUCAUAUCUUAAAUUCCAAAAUCACACAGUGGUCAAGUAAGAUAGUAGUACAUGCAUUUAAAACCAUAGAAUAGAUAAACCAGAUACCAUAAUGCAUUUAAACUGUAAAAUAAAUCAAGCAGGAAUCAACAGAGAAUAAUGUUCGGUUCGAGCUCCAUUAGCAACCUUAAUUAACUAUGCAUAUCUAUUUAAUUUAUACAAAAUACAGUAUUAUCAUUUAUUCAAACUUCAAUUCCAUGAUAGGAAAUAGAGUGAGGGGUCCUUACUUGAUUCAACGCCGAAAAAUAGAUUGUCACUACGCCUACGGGCAGUCCCUAGGUUCCCUGAACUUUUCUUCGGGAACUGAAACGCGCUUACGAUACUUACAGAUGUCCCAAAUAACCCAAAAAUCAGAUCUAUGGCCUACUCGGCCAAUUUAGAAUUCUGGCACGGCG
rnacentral:lncRNA from 1 species